rnacentral:misc_RNA from 1 species
GAAAAACUUACAGAAGGUUUUAAUCAUUUAUACAUAUGAUUAUAUAAUCAAAUUCUGAUGAUAACAUACAAAAAGAGAAAAGAGUUGAAAGUAUACUGAUAAAGUUAAACAGAAACUGAUCAUAUGUAAAGCAAAUAUAUAUAUUGCACUAAUUAUCGCAUAAUGAUCCAUUUAUGUGCUAAUUAAUUACAUAAUAAAACAAUUAACGAUCUCAUGGUUUAUGCUUCUGGGUGUAGAUGUAAUCUAUAUGAGCAGCAAGUGUCCUUCUCAUCAAGCACUCUUCUUCCCCAGCUCCUUCACAGCUCUGUUCUUCUACUAUCUCUGCUUCAUCAACACCCUGCGGUUGAUCCUUCGCCAAGGAGCCAUUGGAAAAGGCUGGCUCGUGGCGGGCGGCGUAGGUUAGCGGGUUGGAGCAGAGGAGGAGGGCUAGCAGGAUAGACAGGAUGGCAAACUUAAGCUUAACCAUCUUUUUUAUAAGUUUGCUGUAAGAGAGAAGGCAGAAGAGAUAUCGAUAAGAUAAUUGAGAUGUUGAAGAGACACAAGGAUGCUGUGUAUUUAUAGAAGUAGACUAAAG